rnacentral:rRNA from 1 species
UACGUAGGGUGCAAGCGUUGUCCGGAAUUAUUGGGCGUAAAGAGCUCGUAGGCGGUCUGUUGCGUCGGCUGUGAAAACCCGGGGCUCAACCCCGGGCCUGCAGCCGAUACGGGCAGACUAGAGUCCAGUAGGGGAGCGUGGAAUUCCUGGUGUAGCGGUGAAAUGCGCAGAUAUCAGGAGGAACACCAGCGGCGAAGGCGGCGCUCUGGGCUGGAACUGACGCUGAGGAGCGAAAGCGUGGGGAGCAAACAGG